GCCGUCGUCGACCAGUGGAAGGUCAUCCUCGCCAUGUGAUGCACACUCACUUCUUCCGAGGAAGACGGGGGUUCGAUUCCCCCCGGUGGUA